rnacentral:rRNA from 1 species
UACAGAGGGUGCGAGCGUUGUCCGGAAUCACUGGGCGUAAAGGGCGCGUAGGCGGCCUGGUAAGUCCGGGGUGAAAUCUCACGGCUCAACCGUGAGGCUGCCUCGUAGACUGCCGGACUUGAGCAGAGCAGAGGCUAGCGGAAUUCCCGGUGUAGCGGUGGAAUGCGUAGAGAUCGGGAAGAACAUCGGUGGCGAAGGCGGCUAGCUGGGCUCUUGCUGACGCUGAUGCGCGACAGCGUGGGGAGCAAACAGG